rnacentral:rRNA from 1 species
AUGCAGUCGAGGGGCAGCGGGUUCUAGCAAUAGAAUGCCGGCGACCGGCGCACGGGUGCGUAACGCGUAUACAAUUUGCCUUAUACUGGGAGAUAGCCCGGAGAAAUUCGGAUUAAUAUCCUAUAAUAAUGUUGAAUCGCAUGGUUUGACAUUUAAAGCUACGGCGGUAUAAGAUGAGUAUGCGUCUGAUUAGCUAGUUGGUGAGGUAAUGGCUCACCAAGGCUACGAUCAGUAGGGGGCCUGAGAGGGUUAUCCCCCACACUGGUACUGAGACACGGACCAGACUCCUACGGGAGGCAGCAGUGAGGAAUAUUGGUCAAUGGAGGCAACUCUGAACCAGCCAUGCCGCGUGUAGGACGAAUGCCCUAUGGGUUGUAAACUACUUUUAUUGGGGAAGAAACCUUUCUACGUGUAGAGAGCUGACGGUACCCAAGGAAUAAGGACCGGCUAACUCCGUGCCAGCAGCCGCGGUAAUACGGAGGGUCCAAGCGUUAUCCGGAAUCAUUGGGUUUAAAGGGUGCGCAGGCGGUAAAGUAAGUCAGUGGUGAAAUCUCUCGGCUCAACCGAGAAACUGCCAUUGAUACUGCUAUACUUGAAUAUAGUCGAAGUGGGCGGAAUGUGACAUGUAGCGGUGAAAUGCUUAG